UUUGCGUUAGGGAUAGAAGUGGAAAUCCAUUUUUUCUUUUUUCAGAAAAAAAGAUUGAAACGAAUAGCCCGACCCUUG
rnacentral:sRNA from 1 species